UCUCUUACAGAACCUUAUGUUUUUUCUUUCUUAAAUAUAUUAUAUUAAUUCUUACCUAAAUUAGGGGAUUCGGAAAACAGAGAUCAACAACGAAACUAAUCUAAGCUAGCCAAGAAGAAAAGGUUGAGAGGGUGAUACGACUAGGGGAACGAAGCCCCCUCCUCCGGUGAACACCGACAGCGUCGUAGUCGGACUCCGGGACUUCACAGGCGGAGGUGUCCAAGCCCAGCACAGAUCCGUCACCGUUAUCUUCAGUCCGCCAUCAUGCUGUUCACUGGUCCGAACCACCGCGAAUCUUCCCGUCCAUCAUCACGGUUUGAGAGGAGGGCGGCUCAGAUGAAGAAGAAACAAUGGAAACCAUACAAACUCUCCGCCGUCGCCAACCCACCGCGAAUCUUCCCGUCCAGCAUCACGCUUGCUCUGAUCGUUCUUCACGCGGUUUAUCAGGUCUUCUCUUUUCUUAUUAUACAAACUUUGUUUUUCUUUCUGCCAAACAUGUUUCUCUGUUUUGAAUUGAAAUAUUUUUUUUUAAAAAAACAUGUUUUUAGGUAAAUUUUGUAUAACUUGAUUGAUCAAUGGAGAGUUAAGUGUGAAUUUGUGACAACAUUUGAACAGAACACCCAAUCUUUGUAUCGUUAGAGGUUGUAAAUGUUUAUUUGGUUUCACACUUAUGAUCACUAAAUUCUUCUAAUCAAUCUAGAAACUAUAAAAUUUUCUUUUUUAAAAAUACGUUUUCAAGGUUUUGGGGAAAUUUUUUAUAGAGCUUCAUUGAUCAUGGAAAGUUAGUGUAAAUUUGUGAAAUAAAUAGAGUGGGCUAUCCUCCUAUCACUAUAUAUGAUGGUUAGAGGUAUUAUCCUUUCUCCAGUCAUUGUGUUUGUAAGCUGGUAGUAUCCCUUUAUUUGGUUUAACACUUAUGAUCACUAAUUUUUUCAUAAUUGAUUAAAGUUAUUAUAAAAAGUUUCCCUUGUUUUCAGUUCUUUCUUUGAUUUCUUUCUUUUAUAUUUUGUUGCCUUUUGUUUGUUCCAUAUGAUCGACUUGUCGUUUUGUUGUUUCAGGAUUCCGGUGGAUGCUUGCUUUGAUUGAUGAUGAUGGCUGUUUUGGUGUUUGGUCCUUCUCUGUUGGCGGUUUGUCAGCAUAGCCUAAUUGACUUAGAAAAAGAAGCUGUAAUUGGAACUUGAAGAAAGGUAUAGGAGGAGAGAGGUCCAUUGAAGAUUAAAACCAAGCAAGUGUUGAAAGCUUCUGGUGGCAAGAGAAGGUUUCAAGCUGAGUUGUUUGUUAUCAUCAUCUUCUUGAGCGAUUGGGAAAACAGAGAGAGAGAGAUUAGAGAGUAUAGAGGAACUGAUUGAGUUGUAAUUUGUGGUGAGGGAAAUGUCUUUUGUACAAGUUGUAACCUUGCACAUUUCCACACCAGAAACGUUAUGAGUUGUUUCUGGAGUGUUGAAGCCUAAGGGAGUGAGGUUUCACCUGAAAUGGAUAUAACUCAUUCAU